rnacentral:rRNA from 1 species
GACGUAGGGCGCGAGCGUUGUCCGGAUUUAUUGGGCGUAAAGAGCUCGUAGGCGGCUUGUCGCGUCGUUCGUGAAAACCUGCAGCUCAACUGCAGGCUUGCGGUCGAUACGGGCAGGCUAGAGUUCGGUAGGGGAGACUGGAAUUCCUGGUGUAGCGGUGAAAUGCGCAGAUAUCAGGAAGAACACCCGUGGCGAAGGCGGCUCUCUGGGACGGUACUGACGCUGAGACGCGAAAGCGUGGGGAGCGAACAGG